rnacentral:piRNA from 1 species
GGCGAGGUGAAUUGCUAAGCAGAGAGC